UACGUAGGGACCGAGCGUUGUCCGGAUUCAUUGGGCGUAAAGAGCUCGUAGGCGGCUGUUCAAGUCGAACGUGAAAACUCGGGGCUCAACUCCGAGCCUGCGUUCGAUACUGGAUGGCUAGAGUCUGGUAGGGGGAUCUGGAAUUCCUGGUGUAGCGGUGGAAUGCGCAGGAUAUCAGGGAGGAACACCGGUGGGCGAAGGCGGG
rnacentral:rRNA from 1 species